GCUACUUUGUGAAGAAUGACCCACUGAUUGCCAGAGCGAUAAUUCGCGUGAAGACAAAGCCUCUUCUCCUAUCGCUUAAUGCCAAAUUGCCAAUGCCCCGACGAUUGAUUAAACGUGUUUCAGUGGCAUAAUGUUCGGUUUUCUAAGUGGCUCUCUGGUUCUUAGUACAAAUUUUAAGUGAAAACCAAUGGAUAAACUCUACUUAAAGCAGAAUAGGAUGACACUGACACUGGUUGACAAGUGCUCAAUGGCAGAAACUGUCUUUGUUAGACUAACAGUUGAUAUAUAUAUAUAUAUAUAUAGACGAUAGAAUUGUUUGAUAUGGUUACAGGACCUGACUGUAUGGAUAUAUGCACAAUCAAUUGGCAAAAUAAAUUUACAUUUUACAGAAACUUGCCUGAGAGGUUAGAAAUUCAAGCAGAAGCAGGUUUUUAUCUCCUUUGAAAGUUUAGUUUAGCUAUACCAUAUGUAAAAACAGAUGCAAAGACAAGUGGAAAAGCAAGUAAUGCAAUUGCUAUGAUGGGUAAAUCUUGGUGUUUAUACCCAUACUGGCUGUCCAAGAAGGCGUUGAGUGCUUUUUGCUCUCCGAAUGCUAUGAUUUCAUCCUUUAUAUCUCCAUAUUGUGAAGUCAGGAGACCUUUCAGGGACCACGAAGUUGGGCAAAUCCAGUAGCCCCAAACCCACCAUUUAGGAAAUUUCUGCAAGUAAAAAGGUGUCUAGUUGAUGAAUUUUAUUGGAAAUUUUAAUUGAGUUUGGCUCAGCAAGUCAUGAGAGAAUUGGCUUACCGGUCCUGGUAUGAGGUACCCUGAGAAC